CACGUAGGGGGCAAGCGUUGUUCGGAAUUACUGGGCGUAAAGGGCAUGUAGGCGGCCUUGUAAGCCUGGCGUGAAAGUCCACGGCUCAACCGUGGGAUUGCGUCGGGAACUGCGAGGCUUGAGUCAUGGAGGGGGAGUUAGAAUUCCUGGUGUAGGGGUGAAAUCUGUAGAGAUCAGGAAGAAUACCAGUGGCGAAGGCGAACUCCUGGCCAAUGACUGACGCUGAGGUGCGAAAGUGUGGGGAUCAAAC
rnacentral:rRNA from 1 species